UACGGGGGGGGCAAGCGUUGUUCGGAAUUACUGGGCGUAAAGGGCUCGUAGGCGGCCAACUAAGUCGGAUGUGAAAUCCCCAAGCUUAACUUGGGGACUGCAUCCGAUACUGGAUGGCUUGAAUCCGGGAGAGGGAUGCAGAAUUCCAGGUGUAGCGGUGAAAUGCGUAGAUAUCUGGAGGAAUACCGGUGGCGAAGGCGGCAUCCUGGACCGGCAUUGACGCUGAGGAGCGAAAGCUAGGGGAGCAAACGGG
rnacentral:rRNA from 1 species